UAGAAGCUUAUACAGUGAACCUACACACUUGACCUUAGACGCCACAUCUUCACUAAAAGAAGAUCCAGCUUUGUGGACUUGUUCUGCAUGAGCGCGUUGGGUAUUUUCAUCAAAAUCUUGAGGGUCCGCCUUUCCGUCAGAGAGAUACCUUGGUGAUUCAGGCGUGAAGGCAUAAAAUAUAAGCAACAGAAAUGAUGGCAAAGAGGACAGCGCUAGCAACCACCUCCAGCCUAAUGUGGGCAUGAUUGCCUGCAUAAACAGUUUGGAGCAGUUAAUCGUUAGCAUUAUCAGAAUUCAUAAGUUAAUUCAACUUAAAGAGUAGGAGGGUUUAUGAUAUCUUGAGCAUUUUUGCAGAAUGUGAUUGAGUUGGACCUAUAAUUUCAUAUUUUAGAUUGUUUAGUUUCUAAUUUAUGCUUCUAAGUUGUUAAGUAUGUAAUUUUAGUUUAUGUGUAAAUUGUAAUGUAUUAUGUAAAAAUGUAACAUUGUAAUUUGUAAAUAAUUUAUACAAUACUUAUAAGUUUUUAGUA